rnacentral:lncRNA from 1 species
AAGCUCUAAGGACUCGAGAUAUUUUUCAUGAUAUUUCAGGGAGGUUGUAGGGGCGCCACCCUCUCGGCAGGUUAUGGUGCCUCUCACUCUGAACUGAUGAGAUGAGGCACU